rnacentral:rRNA from 1 species
CUACGGGGGGCUGCAGUGGGGAAUAUUGGACAAUGGGGGAAACCCUGAUCCAGCAAUGCCGCGUGUGUGAAGAAGGCCUGCGGGUUGUAAAGCACUUUCGGUUGGGAGGACUGCUUCUAGCACUAAUAUUGUUGGAAGUUGACGUUACCUUCAGAAGAAGCACCGGCUACCUGCCGUGCCAGCAGCCGCGGUAAUACGGGGGGUGCAAGCGUUAAUCGGAAUUACUGGGCGUAAAGCGCGCGUAGGCGGCUAGAUCAGUCGGGUGUGAAAGCCCCGGGCUUAACCUGGGAACUGCAUCCGAUACUGUCUAGCUUGAGUACAGGAGAGGAGAGUGGAAUUCCACAUGUAGCGGUGAAAUGCGUAGAUAUGUGGAGGAACACCAAUGGCGAAGGCAGCUCUCUGGCCUGAUACUGACGCUGAGGUGCGAAAGCGUGGGGAGCAAACAGGAUUAGAUACCCCCGUAGUC